UACGAAGGGGGGCUAGCGUUGCUCGGAAUCACUGGGCGUAAAGCGCACGUAGGCGGAUCUUUAAGUCAGGGGUGAAAUCCUGGAGCUCAACUCCAGAACUGCCUUUGAUACUGAAGAUCUUGAGUUCGGGGAGAGGUGAGUGGAACUGCGAGUGUAGAGGUGAAAUUCGUAGAUAUUCGCAAGAACACCAGUGGCGAAGGCGGCUCACUGGCCCGAUACUGACGCUGAGGCACGAAAGCGUGG
rnacentral:rRNA from 1 species